GGGUGCUUAGCUCAGCUGGGAGAGCAUCGCCCUUACAAGGCGAGGGUCGUAGGUUCGAGCCCUACAGUACCCACCA
rnacentral:tRNA from 1 species